rnacentral:rRNA from 1 species
GACGAACGCUGGCGGCGUGCUUAACACAUGCAAGUCGAACGGAAAGGCCCUGCUUUUGUGGGGUGCUCGAGUGGCGAACGGGUGAGUAACACGUGAGUAACCUGCCCUUGACUUUGGGAUAACUUCAGGAAACUGGGGCUAAUACCGGAUAGGAGCUCCUGCUGCAUGGUGGGGGUUGGAAAGUUUCGGCGGUUGGGGAUGGACUCGCGGCUUAUCAGCUUGUUGGUGGGGUAGUGGCUUACCAAGGCUUUGACGGGUAGCCGGCCUGAGAGGGUGACCGGCCACCAUGGGACUGAGAUACGGCCCAGACUCCUACGGGAGGCAGCAGUGGGGAAUAUUGCACAAUGGGCGGAAGCCUGAUGCAGCAACGCCGCGUGCGGGAUGACGGCCUUCGGGUUGUAAACCGAUUUCGCAUGUGACGAAGCGUGAGUGACGGUAAUGGGUAAAGAAGCAACGGCUAACUACGUG